GAUGAAGAACGUAGCGAAAUGCGAUAAGUAGUGUGAAUUGCAGAAUUCAGUGAAUCAUCGAAUCUUUGAACGCACAUUGCGCCCGCCAGUAUUCUGGCGGGCAUGCCUGUUCGAGCGUCAUUUCAACCCUCAGGGCCCUUUUGGACCUGGCGUUGGGGCUCGGCCGCUACCCUGCGGCCGUCCCCGAAAGAUAGUGGCGGUCUCGCUGUAGCCUCCUCUGCGUAGUAGUUACAUCUCGCACUGGAACGCGGCGCGGCCAUGCCGUUAAACACCCCACUUCUCAAGGUUGACCUCGGAUCAGGUAGGAAUACCCGCUGAACUUAAGCAUAUCAAUAAGCGGAGGA
rnacentral:misc_RNA from 1 species